UACGUAGGGUGCGAGCGUUGUCCGGAAUUAUUGGGCGUAAAGGGCUCGUAGGCGGUCUGUUGCGUCAGGAGUGAAAACUCGGGGCUUAACCCCGAGCCUGCUUCUGAUACGGGCAGACUAGAGGUAUGCAGGGGAGAACGGAAUUCCUGGUGUAGCGGUGAAAUGCGCAGAUAUCAGGAGGAACACCGGUGGCGAAGGCGGGUCUCUGGGCCGAUACUGACGCUGAGGAGCGAAGGCGUGGGGAGCGAACAGG
rnacentral:rRNA from 1 species